rnacentral:ncRNA from 1 species
UCACAGACUAUGAAGAGAAGAGUAAGUAUAAGAUGUAGUUUAAGCGAGCUGGUGAAGGUGAAAGACCAGUACGAAGUUUAUACCGAAGAACAUCUCUGAGUUUCUAACCCAAAUCUAGAUUUUAGAAAGUAGGCUUAGACGGAGAACCGGACUGUUAAAACCGGAAAGUAUUAAUUAUGAUACUUUUAUCAAAGUUGAGCUUAUUGUAAAGCUAACUAGGGUGGUACCGCGGAAUUAUAACCUUUCGUCCCUUAU